rnacentral:piRNA from 1 species
AUGAGAAUGUCCACAGGUCUGUGAAGCCAC